GGGGGGACAAGAAAUAUAGAAACUGCUAAUAUCUAAACCGUGGUUAAAUUCCACGAUCCACUCA
rnacentral:tRNA from 1 species